rnacentral:rRNA from 1 species
CCUACGGGCGGCAGCAGUGGGGAAUAUUGGACAAUGGGGGCAACCCUGAUCCAGCCAUGCCGCGUGUGUGAAGAAGGCCCUCGGGUUGUAAAGCACUUUCAGUGAGGAAGAACGCCUGGUGGUUAAUACCCAUCAGGAAAGACAUCACUCACAGAAGAAGCACCGGCUAACUCCGUGCCAGCAGCCGCGGUAAUACGGAGGGUGCGAGCGUUAAUCGGAAUUACUGGGCGUAAAGCGCGCGUAGGUGGCUUGAUAAGCCGGUUGUGAAAGCCCCGGGCUCAACCUGGGAACGGCAUCCGGAACUGUCAAGCUAGAGGGCAGGAGAGGAAGGUAGAAUUCCCGGUGUAGCGGUGAAAUGCGUAGAGAUCGGGAGGAAUACCAGUGGCGAAGGCGGCCUUCUGGACUGACACUGACACUGAGGUGCGAAAGCGUGGGUAGCAAACAGGAUUAGAUACCCGAGUAGUC